rnacentral:rRNA from 1 species
UGGGGAAUAUUGCGCAAUGGGCGAAAGCCCGACGCAGCAACGCCGCGUGCGGGAUGACGGCCUUCGGGUUGUAAACCGCUUUCAGUGGGGACGAAACCAGACGGUACCCACAGAAGAAGCCCCGGCCAACUACGUGCCAGCAGCCGCGGUAACACGUAGGGGGCGAGCGUUGUCCGGAUUUAUUGGGCGUAAAGAGCUCGUAGGCGGCUCGGUAAGUGAGGUGUGAAAACUCCAGGCUCAACCUGGAGACGCCACCUCAUACUGCCGUGGCUAGAGUCCGGUAGGGGAGCAUGGAAUUCCUGGUGUAGCGGUGAAAUGCGCAGAUAUCAGGAGGAACACCAGUGGCGAAGGCGGUGCUCUGGGCCGGAACUGACGCUGAGGAGCGAAAGCGUGGGGAGCAAACAGG